rnacentral:rRNA from 1 species
AGAGCGAACGCUGGCGGCAUGCUUAACACAUGCAAGUCGCACGGUCGGGGUAACUCGGCAGUGGCGGACGGGUGAGUAACGCGUAGGUAUCUAUCCAUGGGUGGGGGAUAACGGCGGGAAACUGCUGCUAAUACCGCAUGACACCUGAGGGUCAAAGGCGCGAGUCGCCUGUGGAGGAGCCUGCGUCCGAUUAGCUUGUUGGUGGGGUAAUGGCCUACCAAGGCUGCGAUCGGUAGCUGGUCUGAGAGGAUGAUCAGCCACACUGGGACUGAGACACGGCCCCAGACUCCUACGGGAGGCAGCAGUGGGGAAUAUUGGACAAUGGGGGCAACCCUGAUCCAGCAAUGCCGCGUGGGUGAAGAAGGUCUUCGGAUUGUAAAGCCCUUUCGGCGGGGACGAUGAUGACGGUACCCGCAGAAGAACGCCCGGCUAACCUUCGCGCCAGCAGCCGC